GAUGAACGCUGGCGGCGUGCCUAACACAUGCAAGUCGAGCGAACAGACGAGGAGCUUGCUCCUCUUACGUUAGCGGCGGACGGGUGAGUAAUACGUGGAUAACCUACCUUUGAGACUGGGAUCACUUCGGGAAACCGGAUCUAAUACCGGAUAAUAUAUUGAACCGCAUGGUUCUAUAGUGAAAGACGGUUUUGCUGUUCCUUAGAGAUGGCUCCCCGUCGCUUUAGUUAGUUGGUAAGGUAACGGCUUAGCAAGGCGAGGAUGCGGUGCCGACGUGAGAGGGUGAUCGGCCACACUGGAACGGAGACACGGUCCAGACUCCUACGGGAGGCAGCAGUAGGGAAUCUUCGGCAAUGGGCGAAAGCCUGACGGAGCAACGCCGCGUGAGUGAUGAAGGUCUUCGGAUCGUAAAGCUCUGUUAUUAGGGAAGAACAACUGUGAGAGUAAAUAUACACGUCUUGACGGUACCUACACAAAAAGCCCCGGCUAACUACGUG
rnacentral:rRNA from 1 species